GUGGAGGGCGCCGGCAGCUUCGCCUACUACGGCGUGUCGGCUAACCUGAUCACGUACUUGACGGGGCCGCUUGGCCACUCCAAAGCUGCGGCGGCUACGGCUGUGAACGUCUGGACCGGGACUGCCAGGCUCUUGCCACUGCUUGGCGCCUUUGUCGCCGACUCCUGGCUAGGCCGCUACCGGUCCAUCAUCCUCGCCUGCACCCUCUACGUCCUGGGUUACGGCAUGAUCACUCUAGCAUCCACGCUCCUUGCUCAGCAAUCGUCACCAACCCUCGACAACGACUCCUCUUCACGUCCUUUGUCGUUGCAGGUGGCCUUCUUCUACGCCUCCCUCUAUCUUAUCGCCUUCGCACAGGGUGCAGACAAGCCUUGUGGCCUUUCCUUUACUGCCGAUCAAUUUGACCCUGACCACCCUAGCGAAUGUGCAGCCCGCAGCUCCUUCUUCAAUUGGUGGCACUUUUCCAUAGCCGUUGGUAUAGGUAUCGCCAUUAAUGUCGUAAGCUACAUCCAAGAGAAUUUUGGUUGGGGAAUUGGUUUUGGCAUGUUGUGCACCGCAAUGAUUUGCGCCUUCGUCGUCUUCAUCCUUGGCAUUCCUACCUACCGCCUCCACAUGUCCAUCGCUGGCUCUGGUAGCCCCUUUGCCCGUCUCAGCCAUAGUUUCAUUACUCUUGCCAAUAACUCAAGCUUCUUCUUCCGCACUAAAAGACACCAGUAUGAAGAUGAAGAUGCCACAACCAACUUGGAGGAGGCACGCGGCAUGCUAAGGCUAUUGCCAAUCUGGUUUGCAUGCCUAGCAUUUGGCGUGGUGUUCGCGCAAAUAACUACACUCUUUAACAAGCAGGGUCAUACCCUUGAUCGGCGUAUCUUUGGCGUCCUAGAGCUGCCGCCAGCCACGUUGCAAACAUUCUGGCCAGCAGCCGUCCUAUUGUUUGUGCCUUUUUAUGAUCGUCUUCUAGUGCCGGCAUUGCGUUGCGUGACUGGCAUCCCAUCAGGACUGACGCUACAGCAACGAAUAGGCACAGGCAUGGCUGUGUCGCUAGCCGCCAUGUGUGUGGCGGCGUUGGUGGAGGCUCGGAGGCUAGAGACGACGCGACAACAUGAACUGGUUAACGAUGGUGGUGCGACGGUGCCGAUGAGUUGGGCAUGGCUAGUGCCACAGUACAUGAUGGUCGGGGUGGCGGAUGUGUUCGUGAUAGUCGGGAUGCAGGAGUUCUUCUAUGACCAGAUGCCUAAAGAGCUUCGUAGCCUUGGGAUAGCGCUCUACUGCAGUGUGAUUGGGGUUGGUGGCUUCAUAAGUGGCGCUCUCAUUUCACUCAUUGACCGCAUCACCCGCAGCGGUGGUGGCGACAGUUGGUUUUCUGAUAACCUCAACCGGGCCCACCUUGACUACUUCUACUGGGUGCUCGCUGGCCUCAGUGCCGCCGAGCUUGUGCUCUACAUCUACUUCGCCAGAUCCUACGUCUACAAGGACAAAAGAGACCGUGCAAAGUGA
rnacentral:rRNA from 1 species